GGGGAUGUAGUUCAGUUGGUAGAAUAUUUGCUUAGCAUGCAUGAAGCCCAGGGUUUCAUCCCCA
rnacentral:tRNA from 1 species